GACGAACGCUGGCUGCGUGCUUAACACAUGCAAGUCGAACGGUGAAAGGGAGCUUGCUCCCUGGAUCAGUGGCGAACGGGUGAGUAACACGUGGGCAACCUGCCCCUCACUCUGGGAUAACUCCGGGAAACCGGGGCUAAUACCGGAUACGACCUGGUGCGACAUCGCACCGGGUGGAAAGAACUUCGGUGAGGGAUGGGCCCGCGGCCUAUCAGCUUGUUGGUGGGGUAACGGCCCACCAAGGCGACGACGGGUAGCCGGCCUGAGAGGGCGACCGGCCACACGGGGACUGAGACACGGCCCAGACUCCUACGGGAGGCAGCAGUGGGGAAUAUUGCGCAAUGGGCGAAAGCCUGACGCAGCGACGCAGCGUGAGGGACGAAGGCCUUCGGGUUGUAAACCUCUUUCAGCGGGGACGAAGCGAAAGUGACGGUACCCGCAGAAGAAGCACCGGCUAACUACGUGCCAGCAGCCGCAGUAAAAC
rnacentral:rRNA from 1 species